rnacentral:tRNA from 1 species
CGCGGGGUGGAGCAGCCCGGUAGCUCGUCAGGCUCAUAACCUGAAGGUCCCUGGUUCAAAUCCAGGUCCCGCAA